rnacentral:rRNA from 1 species
AUUGAACGCUGGCGGCAUGCCUUACACAUGCAAGUCGAACGGCAGCACGGGAGCUUGCUCCUGGUGGCGAGUGGCGAACGGGUGAGUAAUACAUCGGAACGUACCCUGAAGGGGGGGAUAACGUAGCGAAAGUUACGCUAAUACCGCAUAUUCUGUGAGCAGGAAAGAGGGGGAUCGCAAGACCUCUUGCUUUAGGAGCGGCCGAUGUCGGAUUAGCUAGUUGGUGAGGUAAAGGCUCACCAAGGCGACGAUCCGUAGCGGGUCUGAGAGGAUGAUCCGCCACACUGGGACUGAGACACGGCCCAGACUCCUACGGGAGGCAGCAGUGGGGAAUUUUGGAUAAUGGGCGCAAGCCUGAUCCAGCCAUGCCGCGUGAGUGAAGAAGGCCUUCGGGUUGUAAAGACUCUUUCGGUUCGGGAAGGAAAGUUAGCUUCCGGUUUAAGUACCUGGAGUAG